rnacentral:rRNA from 1 species
GAUGAACGCUGGCGGCGUGCCUAAUACAUGCAAGUCGAGCGAAUGGAUUAAGAGCUUGCUCUUAUGAAGUUAGCGGCGGACGGGUGAGUAACACGUGGGUAACCUGCCCAUAAGACUGGGAUAACUCCGGGAAACCGGGGCUAAUACCGGAUAAUAUUUUGAACUGCAUGGUUCAAAAUUGAAAGGCGGCUUCGGCUGUCACUUAUGGAUGGACCCGCGUCGAAUUAGCUAGUUGGUGAGGUAACGGCUCACCAAGGCAACGAUGCGUAGCCGACCUGAGAGGGUGAUCGGCCACACUGGGACUGAGACACGGCCCAGACUCCUACGGGAGGCAGCAGUAGGGAAUCUUCCGCAAUGGACGAAAGUCUGACGGAGCAACGCCGCGUGAGUGAUGAAGGCUUUCGGGUCGUAAAACUCUGUUGUUAGGGAAGAACAAGUGCUAGUUGAAUAAGCUGGCACCUUGGCGGUACCUAACCAGAAAGCCACGGCUAACUACGUGCCAGCCGCCGCUGUAA